ACGGGUGAGUAAUGCUUAUCUUACUUGCCAAUUAGUGGGGGAUAAAAUACCGCAUUUGUUGCUUCGGCAAUGAAAGGGAAUCGCAAGAUUCUCGCUAAUUGAGAGGGAUAAGCCGUAUUAGUUAGUUGGUGGGGUAAUAGCCUACCAAGACAGUGAUGCGUAGCCAGGCUGAGAGGCUGAGUGGCCACAAGGGAACUGAGACACGGUCCCUACUCCUACGGGAGGCAGCAGUGAGGAAUUUUCCACAAUGGGGGCAACCCUGAUGGAGCAAUACUACGUGAAGGAGGAAGGUCUACGGAUUGUAAACUUCUGUUAGUGCGGAAGAAGGGCUAAGCGCAAGUUUAGCCUUGACGGUACGCACAGAGAAAGCCACGACUAACUACGUGCCAGCAGUCGCGGUAAGACGUAGGUGGCGAACGUUAUCCGGAAUUAUUGGGCGUAAAGGGUGCGUAGAUGGUAUGAUAAGUUAUUGGUGGUAAAUCGGGGCUCAACCUCGUGGAAGCUAGUAAUACUGUUUUGCUUGAGUGCAGAAGAGGUUAACGGAACUCCAUGUGGAGCGGUAAAAUGCGUAGAUAUAUGGAAGAACAUCAAUAACGGCGAAGGCAGUUAACUAUUCUGUUACUGACAUUGAGGCACGAAAGCGUGGGGAGCAAAACGGAUUAGAUACCCGUGUAGUCCACGCCCUAAACGAUGAGUACUAGAUAUUGGGAACUUGAUUCUCAGUGUCGCUAGGUAACCCGGUAAGUACUCCGCCUGGGUAGUACGCUCGCAAGAGUGAAACUCAAAGGAAUUGACGGGGACUCGCACAAGCAGUGGAGCAUGUGGUUUAAUCCGAUACAACGCGUAGAACCUUACCAAGGCUUGACAUGUUGGGCAAAGCUAGGGAAACCUAGUGGAGGUUAUCCUAACACAGGUGCUGCAUGGCCGUCGUCAGUUCGUGCCGUGAGGUGUAUGGUUAAGUCCUAUAACGAACGCAACCCUUGGGCUUAGUUACCAGCAUUUAGUUGGGGACUCUAAGCCGACUGCCUGAGCAAUCAGGAGGAAGGAAAGGAUGACGUCUGGUCGUC
rnacentral:rRNA from 1 species